rnacentral:rRNA from 1 species
UACGUAGGGUGCAAGCGUUAUCCGGAAUUACUGGGCGUAAAGAGUUUGUAGGCGGUAUGUUAAGUUAAAUGUUAAAUCUAUGGGCUCAACUCAUAGGCUGCAUUUAAUACUGGCAAACUUGUAGAUGGAAGAGGUAAGCGGAAUUAGUAGUGGAGCGGUGAAAUGCGUAGAUAUUACUAGGAACACCAAUGGCGAAGGCAGCUUACUGGGCCAUUCUAGACGCUGAGAAACGAAAGCGUGGGGAGCGAACAGG